CACCCAUAUGCUCAUUAUUUUACGAUAGCGUCCACGUGCGGCUCGCGAGCCUUCCGUUUCCGCCAUUUUCAUUUUUGUGUCUGCUCCGGAGCCACGGAGACUUCUGGCGCUUGCAAGUGAUCUUCUGGCGUUUGAAACAGUGAGAUAGGUGCGAGUGUGCUGGUGCGUUCGGUGUGGUGAUGACUGACUAGUGCUGGACCCAUUUCCGAAUAACUUUGAGGGUUUGGGGUGACCUGGCUCUCGUCGUGGGUCACGCCGGCGAGAAUGGCAUUAGGACAAAGUCACCUCAAUGACGCGACAGGCGUGCUACACCGCACAACUCCUGCCUCCGGAGGGCGCCACACCCGUUGAAGAUGACGACCUGGCGGCCACCUUGGUGAUCGGUGGCGGCACGACGAUUUCGGAGCUGCAGGAUGGGCGCAACUCUGUGUCCGUUCACCCAGAAACCCAGUGCCUGGUCAGCGAUGUGAAAUAUCGUCUCCCAAACAGUGAGAUGAAGAUGCUGGCUGUCUUCGCUGCGGCGCACGCUGUGCUAUAUUUGCCUUUUAGAGGGCCCAGCAUGAUCCUUUUUGAGGUCAUAUAUGCACGGGUUAUGAAGUUCGCGAUUCCGCUCAGUGCGGCCGAGAAGGCCAUCCUUCGUAUAAUCCACUGUUGCCGAUUCAGAGGCACCAGUGCAGUGAUCGGGUGACCGAGCAGGGCCCUGUUUCACGCCACGGCACUACUGUGCGCUACUAUGUAGUAUCGCGGUAUUGAGUUUCCAUAGAAACAUCUACAAACUUGGACGCUCCAACAUUGAGAGCGUUCGAGUAUGUGGAUGUUUCCAAUAGGAACAUAGCACCGCGAUACACGUAACGCAGUGUAGUGUCGUGCCGUGAAACAUCUUCAGUACCUAUAGGCACUGAAGAUGAUGUGAGUUGAGAAGGCCUCAGUCAGUUUUUUUUUUACGGAGUUUUUGUUGUCAGUGCUGUCCUAGUUCGUACACCUGUGCUUUGAUUUCAGAGACCGUACGUUUGAUGUCGAUACUCGUUACACGAAGAAAUGCUCAGUUGUUUUUAGAGUACAUGAUGAAACGUGACUUAGUGACCUGAUGACCUGUGCUGUGAAUAAAAUGUGAUUUGUGCAGCUUGUGGUCU